UUAGGUUAAGUUAGAAAGGGCGCACGGUGAAUGCCUUGGCACUAGGAGCCGAUGAAGGACGGGACUAACACCGAUAUGCUUCGGGGAGCUGUAAGUAAGCUUUGAUCCGGAGAUUUCCGAAUGGGGGAACCCACUGUUCGUAAUGGAACAGUAUCUUUACCUGAAUACAUAGGGUAUUGAAGGCAUACCCGGGGAACUGAAACAUCUAAGUACCCGGAGGAAGAGAAAGCAAACGCGAUUCCCUGAGUAGCGGCGAGCGAAACGGGACAUAGCCCAAACCAAGAGGCUUGCCUCUUGGGGUUGUAGGACACUCAACAUGGAGUUACAAAGGAACGGGGUAGAUGAAGCGACCUGGAAAGGUCCGUCAAAGAAGGUAAAAACCCUGUAGUCGAAACUUCGUUCCCUCCUGAGUGGAUCCUGAGUACGGCCGGACACGUGAAAUCCGGUCGGAAGCAGGGAGGACCAUCUCCCAAGGCUAAAUACUCCCUAGUGACCGAUAGUGAACCAGUACCGUGAGGGAAAGGUGAAAAGCACCCCGGAAGGGGAGUGAAAUAGUUCCUGAAACCGUGUGCCUACAAGUAGU
rnacentral:rRNA from 1 species